CCGCCAUCUUCUCCUCAGCGUGAUUGCUUUAUUGGCUCUACCGAUUUCCAGUUAGCUUCUCACUUUGUCUCCUUGUUUAUUUGUGACAUUUUCCUGGCAGCAGUGGAGAGAAAAUGUUGUUUCAUUGUUGUUGUUGUUUUUUUUUUUCAGUGGCGAAUCUGAUAAAGGUGACACAAACUGUUAGAAGAACUGGUGGCAUCGAGGAAGGCCUGAUGCUGCCAUUCGACUGGAGUGGAAGAGUUUGCAGGCUGUCUGUUGUGAGGAAAUCCCUGCGGCUGUGGUUCAGCACCUGUAGUGUGCAGAAAUUAGCAACAAAGUCAGCAAAAAACUGGAACCUAUGCUAGGCCUUGAUUCAAGAUGUUUGACAACCUCCCUGCAUUUAAAGGACUGUGGUUCUGGCCAUUACUUGCAGAGCAGCCAAGGGUGGCUAAUUUUUGCCUUUUUAAGGAAUUUCUUUUGGACGUGACUUGUUCUUGCUCUGGUUUAAUCAUACCAGCUCUCUGUAGGAAAAAGAAAGAGCAGUGUAGGUCACCAGUAGCAUCACCACAUCAUGGGAGUGGGACAGCUGUGCAGAACCAGUGCCAAGCUCUGCUGGGCUCACAGAGUGUGGGCACUGCCUGUCCUCAAGGAAGCUGUCACUGUGGCCACGUCCUUGUUCACUUCAAACACAAGAGGGACUGUCUGGUGAGUUCCAAGAUUCCAAGAACCAUAAAUGCACCGUCUUGGCCCUUUCCAGCAAUUGUAUAUCUAUUCCUCAAGUCUUCCUUCUCCAAAGACAACACUCUGGCUUUAUUUUCCAAACCCCAGCACUUCAGUAC
ensembl:lncRNA